rnacentral:tRNA from 1 species
GAGGGUAUGGCUCAGUGGUAGAGUGCGUGCUUAGCAUGCGCAAGGUCCUGGGUUCAGUCCCCAGUCCCUCC